AACUAACAAAAAAAAGGACCCAUUUUGUCACCAUCUUCUUCUCCAUAUUUUGGAUAUAUACGCACAAAAGAGGGAAUUUUUUUUUUUGGUUUUCAGGGAGCAAGAACAAUAUAAAAACCCACAUCAUCAUCUCCAUUUUCUCUUCUACACAUACAUACAGAAUAACACACACACGACUCACAAUUCCAAUCAAACACAACAACCAAAUUCACCUGCUACCCAUUUUUUCCAUUUCAGUGAAUAUACAUCACUCUUCCUCACCUCAUAACAACAAUUCACGCACACCACUCCAUCGUCACACACACAGAAAGCUGCGGGGCAGAGAAAUCUGUGAGAGGGAGAGAGAGAGGCGAACGAAGGGUUGACUGGGAAAAGGGAGAAAUAUACAGGGAACAUAAUUAUACAGGGGGAUUCGAUUGGGUUUUUCUUCUCCUAGAUAGCCAUCGUUUUUUCAGGAGGAAAUUCCAUUUUUUUAUCUAUAUAUAGACGCACACACCCAGAUCGAGAGAGAGAGAGAGUGAGGAAUCGAGUGAGAAAGAGGGAAAAACAGAAGAGAGAAGGAUCGAAAACAAUAUCCCUUCGCCGAAAAAACUUUAUUUUCCAUCUAUUUCAGCUUGUUUCGGUCAACGUUGGAGCUCACCGGAGUUCUAACAAAACGAUAGUUGUGGAUUCUGACCCAAACUCAAUUCGAAUCAGUCAAGUUUGACCAAUUUUGGGUCGAUUCUGGUAAGGUUUUGUCGGAAGCAAUUCUAAUUGUCAAUAUCUAAUUGUUAAUCACUGUUAAGGUCAUGUCAAUCACUGUAGGUGAAAAAUCCGAUUUGAUUUGGGGGCGGAAGUUAAAAGUUGAUAAGGUAAGUAUCGUUGUUUUGAUUCAUUGAUAUCGAACUUGAUAGUAUCAUGAUCGGUCGAGUGGGUAGGCAACCGUAGGUUCGGGUAGGCGAAAUUUAGGAUGAAAGUGUUUUGUUGAAAUGUGUUGGUCUAUGUUUUCGGAUUGAAAUGUAUCCAUUCAGCCGGGGAAUGCCCCGACGUAUCAUGUUGGCGUAGGCGGAUCGUGAUCAAGGCCUGAGGCAUCGGGUAAAUCACCAGAGCGUAGUUAGGAUUAGUGUAGGUUAGAUAGUAUUUAUUUUUGCAUUUUUCUAUUUUGGACUGUAUAAAUUGGACUGGACACUGUACUUUUGAUUCGUUUUGUUUUGUUUGUUUGAUUGAUUGUUUUUUUGUGUGGUUUAUACAUUCUUAGUGUCAAGUUAGCUGAUACGCUCCACCAAGCGACCGUGGUUAAACCACGGGAUCGAGGGGUGCCUAACAACUUCCCCUCGGUCAACAGAAUUCCUUAGCCGGAAUCUCUGUUCGCGGAUUAGUUUUAGAGUCAAAAUCGUUUUGAAAAGGAUUUCCCAAUGGUGACUUGACACACUAGAUUAUGCCAAGUGGCGACUCUGAGUUUUUAAAUGUAAAAAUAAUCCUUUUUCAGAACAAAUCUUCAUUUUGUCACUUUAAUAAUAUAAACCCUUUCGACCCUUAAAAUCCAAUCUUUUGGAGUAUGAAAAAAAGGGUGUGACAAAAGCCUUACUUAAAAAAGAGGAGGAAGCUUUUAAGAAUUUUCCUUUUUUUGCGAAUUUAAUUUUUUAAAAAUGUUUGAUUAUAUUGUUUACAAAUAUAAAUGUUUCAAACAUUUAUGUAAUUUCAUAAUUUUCUAAAUGGUAGAUCUCCGUGAAAGUAGCAAUUUUUGUCCAAUUUUUAAUUAACCAGAAUUAUUAUGCCCACUUAUUUUGAAAUUGAGAAUGUUAUUGGUAUUCUUUUAUACAUAAUUUUCC
rnacentral:lncRNA from 1 species